UAGGGAAUCUUCGGCAAUGGACGAAAGUCUGACCGAGCAACGCCGCGUGAGUGAAGAAGGUUUUCGGAUCGUAAAACUCUGUUGUUAGAGAAGAACAAGGACGUUAGUAACUGAACGUCCCCUGACGGUAUCUAACCAGAAAGCCACGGCUAACUACGUGCCAGCAGCCGCGGUAAUACGUAGGUGGCAAGCGUUGUCCGGAUUUAUUGGGCGUAAAGCGAGCGCAGGCGGUUUCUUAAGGCUGAUGUGAAAGCCCCCGGCUCAACCGGGGAGGGUCAUUGGAAACUGGGAGACUUGAGUGCAGAAGAGGAGAGUGGAAUUCCAUGUGUAGCGGUGAAAUGCGUAGAUAUAUGGAGGAACACCAGUGGCGAAGGCGGCCCCCUGGACGAAGACUGACGCUCAGGUGCGAAAGCGUGGGGAGCAAACAGG
rnacentral:rRNA from 1 species